GGCGCAUUCAGCACGCCCUUUGGCUCUCUGCCAGUCACCAUCUUGGAUGCAUGUGGAGUAACCCUGGGCCCGGGUCUCGCGCGCCACAGUCCUGUGUCCACGCUUCCCCUUGGCCGUUCCUCCCUGGAACACUCUGCCGUUUUGGACCUGCAUACCAAAGGCCAGGAAGGAGAUCAGCAGGCGCCUGACACACACCCAACUCCUCAGGAUGCCUGUGCUGCCUGGGAUGCUCAUUUAUGGAACUUUGCUUCUGUGUGCAGCUGUUACAAUCUGUAUCACCAUGAGUUCUUCCACUAAGGUGAACGUGAUUGUCGUAAAUAAGUUUUCAAGAGACCUGCCCUCAUUCAAGGCUCCUAUAGUUAGAGGCAAAAAGUGAGAUCCAGUGUGCAGAUCAGCAAAAUGAAAGAUUCUAGAAGAAUCUUUCACUGCAACAAAAAGAAGACCUCCCCCUUCUCUGCUCUACAACCCAGGUCCUUCUUUUCCUGAUAAUCUAAGGGCAAAGUCCGUCCCUGCUCACCUCCGCACUCCAUGCUUCACUUCAGCCCCACGAAUCCUGCUGUCCUUCUGUUGAAUGGAGAGGAGUUUUUCAUGUAUGUCAGCACUGAGUCCCUCCCUGGGGUGAGCCCUGUGUGUUUGUGGAUGAGCGUCUUUGCACAGGCUUUGUGCACAAGUCCACCUGCACUUCUCUGCCUGUGGGCUUGUGGGUGGGGGGAAUAUCGAGGCAGCAUCUUCUUCUUUCCAUCACCCCUUCAUUAAUAAAUGUGGAUUAAG